rnacentral:rRNA from 1 species
UGGGGAAUAUUGCACAAUGGGCGAAAGCCUGAUGCAGCGACGCCGCGUGAGGGAUGACGGCCUUCAGGUUGUAAACCUCUUUCAGCAGGGACGAAGCGCAAGUGACGGUACCUGCAGAAGAAGCACCGGCUAACUACGUGCCAGCAGCCGCGGUAAUACGUAGGGUGCAAGCGUUGUCCGGAAUUACUGGGCGUAAAGAGUUCGUAGGCGGUUCGUCGCGUCGGUUGGUAAAACCAGCAGCUCAACUGCUGGCUUGCAGGCGAUACGGGCAGACUUGAGUACUGCAGGGGAGACUGGAAUUCCUGGUGUAGCGGUGAAAUGCGCAGAUAUCAGGAGGAACACCGGUGGCGAAGGCGGGUCUCUGGGCAGUAACUGACGCUGAGGAACGAAAGCGUGGGUAGCGAACAGG